AGAGUUUGAUUAUGGCUCAGGAUGAACGCUAGCGACAGGCUUAACACAUGCAAGUCGAGGGGCAGCGGGGAAGUAGCAAUACUUCCGCCGGCGACCGGCGCACGGGUGAGUAACACGUAUGGAACCUGCCCGUAGCAGGGGGAUAAGCGGAAGAAAUUCCGUCUAAUAUCGCGUAAUAACUCCGAGAGGCAUCUCCUGGGGUUUAAAGGGUAACACCGGCUACGGAUGGCCAUGCGGCGCAUUAGCUAGUUGGCGGGGUAACGGCCCACCAAGGCGACGAUGCGUAGGGGUUCUGAGAGGAAGGUCCCCCACACUGGUACUGAGACACGGACCAGACUCCUACGGGAGGCAGCAGUGAGGAAUAUUGGUCAAUGGGCGCGAGCCUGAACCAGCCAAGUCGCGUGAGGGAAGACGGUCCUAUGGAUUGUAAACCUCUUUUGUCGGGGAGCAAAAGACGCCACGUGUGGCGUUCCGAGAGUACCCGAAGAAAAAGCAUCGGCUAACUCCGUGCCAGCAGCCGCGGUAAUACGGAUGAUGCGAGCGUUAUCCGG
rnacentral:rRNA from 1 species